rnacentral:rRNA from 1 species
CCUACGGGAGGCUGCAGUGGGGAAUAUUGCACAAUGGGCGAAAGCCUGAUGCAGCAACGCCGCGUGAGCGAUGAAGGCCUUCGGGUCGUAAAGCCCUGUCCUCAAGGAAGCUAAUGACGGUACUUGAGGCGGAAUCCCAGGCUAACUACGUGCCAGCAGCCGCUGUACUACGGAGGGGGCUCGCGUUAUCCGGAAUUACUGGGCGUAAAGCGUGCGUAGGUGGUUUCUUAAGUCAGAGGUGAAAGGCUACGGCGCAACCGUAGUAAGCCUUUGAAACUGGGGAACGUGAGUGCAGGAGAGGAGAGUGGAAUUCCUAGUGGAGCGGUGAAAUGCGUAGAUAUUAGGAGGAACACCAGUUGCGAAGGCGGCUCUCUGGACUGUAACUGACACUGAGGCACGAAAGCGUGGGGAGCAAACAGGAUUAGAGACCCCAGGAGUC